rnacentral:rRNA from 1 species
AGGUGAUAUGAACCGUUAUAACCGGCGAUUUCCGAAUGGGGAAACCCAGUGUGAUUCGUCACACUAUCAUUAACUGAAUCCAUAGGUUAAUGAGGCGAACCGGGGGAACUGAAACAUCUAAGUACCCCGAGGAAAAGAAAUCAACCGAGAUUCCCCCAGUAGCGGCGAGCGAACGGGGAGGAGCCCAGAGCCUGAAUCAGUGUGUGUGUUAGUGGAAGCGUCUGGAAAGGCGUGCGAUACAGGGUGACAGCCCCGUACACAAAAAUGCACAUACUGUGAGCUCGAUGAGUAGGGCGGGACACGUGGUAUCCUGUCUGAAUAUGGGGGGACCAUCCUCCAAGGCUAAAUACUCCUGACUGACCGAUAGUGAACCAGUACCGUGAGGGAAAGGCGAAAAGAACCCCGGCGAGGGGAGUGAAAAAGAACCUGAAACCGUGUACGUACAAGCAGUGGGAGCCUCUUAAUGGGGUGACUGCGUACCUUUUGUAUAAUGGGUCAGCGACUUAUAUUCUGUAGCAAGGUUAACCGAAUAGGGGAGCCGAAGGGAAACCGAGUCUUAACUGGGCGUUAAGUUGCAGGGUAUAGACCCGAAACCCGGUGAUCUAGCCAUGGGCAGGUUGAAGGUUGGGUAACACUAACUGGAGGACCGAACCGACUAAUGUUGAAAAAUUAGCGGAUGACUUGUGGCUGGGGGUGAAAGGCCAAUCAAACCGGGAGAUAGCUGGUUCUCCCCGAAAGCUAUUUAGGUAGCGCCUCGUGAAUUCAUCUCCGGGGGUAGAGCACUGUUUCGGCAAGGGGGUCAUCCCGACUUACCAACCCGAUGCAAACUGCGAAUACCGGAGAAUGUUAUCACGGGAGACACACGGCGGGUGCUAACGUCCGUCGUGAAGAGGGAAACAACCCAGACCGCCAGCUAAGGUCCCAAAGUCAUGGUUAAGUGGGAAACGAUGUGGGAAGGCCCAGACAGCCAGGAUGUUGGCUUAGAAGCAGCCAUCAUUUAAAGAAAGCGUAAUAGCUCACUGGUCGAGUCGGCCUGCGCGGAAGAUGUAACGGGGCUAAACCAUGCACCGAAGCUGCGGCAGCGACACUAUGUGUUGUUGGGUAGGGGAGCGUUCUGUAAGCCUGUGAAGGUGUACUGUGAGGUAUGCUGGAGGUAUCAGAAGUGCGAAUGCUGACAUAAGUAACGAUAAAGCGGGUGAAAAGCCCGCUCGCCGGAAGACCAAGGGUUCCUGUCCAACGUUAAUCGGGGCAGGGUGAGUCGACCCCUAAGGCGAGGCCGAAAGGCGUAGUCGAUGGGAAACAGGUUAAUAUUCCUGUACUUGGUGUUACUGCGAAGGGGGGACGGAGAAGGCUAUGUUGGCCGGGCGACGGUUGUCCCGGUUUAAGCGUGUAGGCUGGUUUUCCAGGCAAAUCCGGAAAAUCAAGGCUGAGGCGUGAUGACGAGGCACUACGGUGCUGAAGCAACAAAUGCCCUGCUUCCAGGAAAAGCCUCUAAGCAUCAGGUAACAUCAAAUCGUACCCCAAACCGACACAGGUGGUCAGGUAGAGAAUACCAAGGCGCUUGAGAGAACUCGGGUGAAGGAACUAGGCAAAAUGGUGCCGUAACUUCGGGAGAAGGCACGCUGAUAUGUAGGUGAAGUCCCUCGCGGAUGGAGCUGAAAUCAGUCGAAGAUACCAGCUGGCUGCAACUGUUUAUUAAAAACACAGCACUGUGCAAACACGAAAGUGGACGUAUACGGUGUGACGCCUGCCCGGUGCCGGAAGGUUAAUUGAUGGGGUUAGCGGUAACGCGAAGCUCUUGAUCGAAGCCCCGGUAAACGGCGGCCGUAACUAUAACGGUCCUAAGGUAGCGAAAUUCCUUGUCGGGUAAGUUCCGACCUGCACGAAUGGCGUAAUGAUGGCCAGGCUGUCUCCACCCGAGACUCAGUGAAAUUGAACUCGCUGUGAAGAUGCAGUGUACCCGCGGCAAGACGGAAAGACCCCGUGAACCUUUACUAUAGCUUGACACUGAACAUUGAGCCUUGAUGUGUAGGAUAGGUGGGAGGCUUUGAAGUGUGGACGCCAGUCUGCAUGGAGCCGGCCUUGAAAUACCACCCUUUAAUGUUUGAUGUUCUAACGUUGGCCCCUGACCGGGGUUGCGGACAGUGUCUGGUGGGUAGUUUGACUGGGGCGGUCUCCUCCUAAAGAGUAACGGAGGAGCACGAAGGUUGGCUAAUCCUGGUCGGACAUCAGGAGGUUAGUGCAAUGGCAUAAGCCAGCUUGACUGCGAGCGUGACGGCGCGAGCAGGUGCGAAAGCAGGUCAUAGUGAUCCGGUGGUUCUGAAUGGAAGGGCCAUCGCUCAACGGAUAAAAGGUACUCCGGGGAUAACAGGCUGAUACCGCCCAAGAGUUCAUAUCGACGGCGGUGUUUGGCACCUCGAUGUCGGCUCAUCACAUCCUGGGGCUGAAGUAGGUCCCAAGGGUAUGGCUGUUCGCCAUUUAAAGUGGUACGCGAGCUGGGUUUAGAACGUCGUGAGACAGUUCGGUCCCUAUCUGCCGUGGGCGCUGGAGAACUGAGGGGGGCUGCUCCUAGUACGAGAGGACCGGAGUGGACGCAUCACUGGUGUUCGGGUUGUCAUGCCAAUGGCACUGCCCGGUAGCUAAAUGCGGAAGAGAUAAGUGCUGAAAGCAUCUAAGCACGAAACUUGCCCCGAGAUGAGUUCUCCCUGACUCCUUGAGAGUCCUGAAGGAACGUUGAAGACGACGACGUUGAUAGGCCGGGUGUGUAAGCGCAGCGAUGCGUUGAGCUAACCGGUACUAAUGAACCGUGAGGCUUAACCUU